CCUACGGGAGGCUGCAGUGGGGAAUAUUGCACAAUGGGCGCAAGCCUGAUGCAGCCAUGCCGCGUGUGUGAAGAAGGCCUUCGGGUUGUAAAGCACUUUCAGCGGGGAGGAAGGCGUUAAGGUUAAUAACCUUGUCGAUUGACGUUACCCGCAGAAGAAGCACCGGCUAACUCCGUGCCAGCAGCCGCGGUAAUACGGAGGGUGCAAGCGUUAAUCGGAAUUACUGGGCGUAAAGCGCACGCAGGCGGUCUGUCAAGUCGGAUGUGAAGUCCCCGGGCUCAACCUGGGAACUGCAUUCGAAACUGGCAGGCUAGAGUCUUGUAGAGGGGGGUAGAAUUCCAGGUGUAGCGGUGAAAUGCGUAGAGAUCUGGAGGAAUACCGGUGGCGAAGGCGGCCCCCUGGACAAAGACUGAUGCUCAGGUGCGAAAGCGUGGGGAGCAAACAGGAUUCGAUACCCCUGUAGUC
rnacentral:rRNA from 1 species